rnacentral:rRNA from 1 species
UUCUCUUUCAUCCACACACACCUGUGCACUUGUGAGACGGAGGGACUUUAAUUAGUCUUCCGUCUACUUAAUUACACAAACUCAUUUAAUUAAAUUGAAUGUAAUUGAUGUAACGCAUCAUUAGAACUAAGUUUCAACAACGGAUCUCUUGGCUCUCGCAUCGAUGAAGAACGCAGCGAAAUGCGAUAAGUAAUGUGAAUUGCAGAAUUCAGUGAAUCAUCGAAUCUUUGAACGCACCUUGCGCUCCUUGGUAUUCCUUGGAGCAUGCCUGUUUGAGUAUCAUGAAAUUCUCAAAGUAAAUCUUUUGUUAAUUCAACUGGUUUGCUUUGGACUUGGAGGUCUUUGCAGAUUUCACCUCUGCUCCUCUUAAAUUCAUUAGCUGGAUCUCAGUAUAUGCUUGGUUCCACUCGGCGUGAUAAGUAUCACUCGCUGAGGACACUGUAAAAAGUGGCCAGGAAAUGCAGAUGAACCGCUUCUAACAGUCUAUUAAGUUAGACAAUUAAUUUAAGAUCUGAUCUCAAAUCAGGUAGGACUACCCGCUGAACUUAAGCAUAU